CUGCUCCUUAACCUGCUGUACCACUAGAGAACUUCAGCAGCAAAUAUCUUAAAGUUGGAACAAUACAGAGAAGAUUAACAUUCUCUCUGAGCUAGGAUGAUAGUGCAAAUCUGAAAUGUUUGAUUUUUAA
rnacentral:snRNA from 1 species